rnacentral:rRNA from 1 species
CUACGGGAGGCAGCAGUGGGGAAUUUUCCGCAAUGGGCGAAAGCCUGACGGAGCAAUACCGCGUGAGGGAAGACGGCCUAUGGGUUGUAAACCUCUUUUUUCAGGGAGGAAUUUUGACGUGUACCUGAAGAAUAAGCAUCGGCUAACUCCGUGCCAGCAGCCGCGGUAAGACGGAGGAUGCAAGUGUUAUCCGGAAUCACUGGGCGUAAAGCGUCUGUAGGUGGUUGUUUAAGUCAACUGUUAAAUCUUGAGGCUCAACUUCAAAAUCGCAGUCGAAACUAUUCAACUAGAGUAUAGUAGGGGUAAAGGGAAUUUCCAGUGGAGCGGUGAAAUGCGUAGAUAUUGGAAAGAACACCGAUGGCGAAGGCACUUUACUGGGCUAUUACUGACACUCAGAGACGAAAGCUAGGGUAGCAAAUGGGAUUAGAUACCCCAGUAGUCCUAGCCGUAAACAAUGGAUACUAGAUGUUGAACAGAUCGACCUGUGCAGUAUCAAAGCUAACGCGUUAAGUAUCCCGCCUGGGAAGUAUGCUCGCAAGAGUGAAACUCAAAG